rnacentral:lncRNA from 1 species
UGAAAAAUGCUUCAUAUCAUAUAAUCACCAUAAUCACCAUACAAAACCUUGAUAUCAUCUCAUCCCAUAAAACAUCACAAAAACCUUAUUUUACUAAUAAUAACCUUCUUUACUCAUUUUCUUAUCUCCAUUGUUCCAUCUAUAAAACACAACAUAACAUAACAUAGCAUAUGUUAUACUUUAUAAAAAAACAAGAUAAGGUAACAAGACAUAACAAAACAUUAAAUCCCAAUCUUGUUCUUUUGUAUAUCAUGAUAUGAAAUAAUGUGACCAUGAAGGGGAAUUAUUUGAAGGGAGACGCGUGGUCACAGUAUGAGCCGUACCAAAUUAUCCCACUAUUGGCUAUUAUCAUGACACGUGGCUAAACAUUAUCUUUUCAACCAACAAAUUAUCUCUCCAUAUCUCUCCUCUCCAAAUUUUCAUUUUUCCCUCACAAAAACACACACAUAAACUCCACUUGCUUCCGUCCAUUUGCUGCAUCAUUUCCAAUUAUAUCCUUUCCCACAGGUACUCUCUUCAUUUCCUUUAAUGUUUAUUUAUCUACUCUUCUCCAUUUACAAGUAUUCAGACGUAAGUUACAAGUCAUUACAGCUUCGACUGUUUUGACUUUAUAGCUUAUUCGUCUACAAUUCGGAAAAUUCUGAAUACGUGAUGACAAUUUUUUGAUCCAUGAAAUUCAAAGACAAUUUGAUUAUUUUGGGGUGUGCUUUAGUUGUUUAUUCAUAACCAAUAAAAUUUAAAGAAAUUAGAUUAUAAUGAAACGUAUUACGAUAUGUGAAACUGUUUCAUUUAGAAUAUGGUUAGAGUAUUAAAUUCACAAUUUGGUUAGAAUUAUUAAUAAAAGACGACAAAAGGUAUUAUCAUUAACACAUGCUUAAAAAUUACCGAUUUUUGUUGAUUUAAUAUUUGACUAUUCGAGUCAGAUUGAUUGAACAUUUUUGAUAAUUCAAUUUCAACCUAGUUUAUUUAUAAUUUAAACCAAAAGACAGAACUGUUUUUUUGUUUUUUUACGUGGUAUCACCUUUUCAUACCGAAAAGUGAGCAAAUAUAGUAAAAAGUAAACAUAAAUUAUUUCCAAGAAAAAGUUAACUUUUUAUGGACCGAAAAUUUGUAAAUUAGAUAAAAGCAAAAAAAAGAAGAAAAAAAAAAAGUUAAAGUCAGUCUUUUCGGGAAAAAAAAAUGUAUAUCUGAUUUCUUGGAAAAGAUUUUUGUGUUAAAAUUACAUUAUAUAUUUUUCUAAUAUUAGGUUUGAAAAUGACCACACAAAAUAGUUUUAUCAACAACCCUAAUAGUUAUUCUAGUAAUUAACAUGAUUUUAAUUUUAAAAUAAAUAAUAAUUUUUAAUUAAAUAAAAAAAUAAAAUGACUUGACUUGAAUUCUUCUAUUGUUUUUUACAUUUAGGUGGAAGGGAUCAUAAAAACCCUAAAAAUCAGUGAUUAAUGGAAAGUUCAGAUGCUGAAUCGAGCACAAAAAAUAGUAGUAAACCAGAGUCAACAAACAAAUGGAUGGCAUUCGACAGAGAUUCAAAUCAAAACAAACCUCCAACAGCUAGAAUCACUCCACCUGAUCAAGAUGAAUACGAUGCCGAUCACAUCGCCGAACGGACGGCGCAAUGGCCGGGAGCGACGGCGGUUGCAGGAUUGAUCGGAGAUGAGGAGAGAAACAAGCGGAGCUCGUCGUCGUCG